rnacentral:rRNA from 1 species
UACGUAGGUCCCGAGCGUUAUCCGGAUUUAUUGGGCGUAAAGCGAGCGCAGGCGGUUAGAUAAGUCUGAAGUUAAAGGCUGUGGCUUAACCAUAGUACGCUUUGGAAACUGUUUAACUUGAGUGCAGAAGGGGAGAGUGGAAUUCCAUGUGUAGCGGUGAAAUGCGUAGAUAUAUGGAGGAACACCGGUGGCGAAAGCGGCUCUCUGGUCUGUAACUGACGCUGAGGCUCGAAAGCGUGGGGAGCAAACAGGAUUAGAUAC